CCAGACUCCUACGGGAGGCAGCAGUGGGGGAUAUUGCACAAUGGGGGAAACCCUGAUACAGCGACGCCGCGUGAGUGAAGAAGUAAUUCGUUACGUAAAGCUCUAUCAGCAGGGAAGAAAAUGACGGUACCUGACUAAGAAGCCCCGGCUAACUACGUGCCAGCAGCCGCGGUAAUACGUAGGGGGCAAGCGUUAUCCGGAAUUACUGGGUGUAAAGGGAGCGCAGACGGCAGUGCAAGUCAGAUGUGAAAUCCCAAGGCUCAACCUUGGAACUGCAUUUGAAACUGUUGGUCUUGAGUAUCGGAGAGGCAGGCGGAAUUCCUAGUGUAGCGGUGAAAUGCGUAGAUAUUAGGAGGAACACCAGUGGCGAAGGCGGCCUGCUGGACGACAACUGACGGUGAGGCGCGAAAGCGUGGGGAGCAAACAGGAUUAGAUACCCGAGUA
rnacentral:rRNA from 1 species